rnacentral:lncRNA from 1 species
AUGAAGAGAAGAUUUUCAACUGGGGCAGAGGAAUCCACCAUCUUCUUAGAAAAUUGGAACAAGGAUACAUUUUUUCCAAAUCAGCCACAGAGAUUACCUGCCACAGUGAAGACUGGAAUCCAGAGGAAGGCAAAGAAAUACCUGGAUGACCUAAGCAGUUGUGUCAUAGAAGACUCAAGAAUGAGACAGAUUAUGCAGAACUUCAUCUGGACCUGUUGGAGAGAACUACCACCACCCAGAAUUCCUGAGCUUCCAUCUGAGGCCGUAAUAAAUGAGGCCAUAAUUAUUUUCCCUGGCAUUCAGAAAGAAUCCCAAGGGAAUUGUGUAUGGCAAGAAAGCAUAUACAUGGAUAGUUAGGAGGCCAGAGUAGCAAAUUACUAGCUGCCCCCAAAUACUGCCCUCAUAUUUUAAUAAGCAUCCAACUAGAAACUUCAUUUUCCAGCCUCCAGUAGAAUGUGUAUAGAAGCAAUGUGUGCAUUCUGAAACUUCACUGUUACUUUGUUGAAAAGAAAUAUCUUGCUCUGGACUUCUCCCCUUUUCAUGACAUAAAACACAGCCAUGUUAAAUGGAAUAUGAGUCCCUAAAGAUUGUCCUUUAUGAAACAUAGCUGCCCCUAUCACACUGACCUGGACUGACCAAAGUGUUACCCGAAAAGUAAUCUCUAUGUUACUCAAACCAUUUUAUUUCUAGUUCCCUUUGUUACAACAGCUUAGCCUUUGCCAUGACUAAUAUAUCAUUCACAUUUCUUUCCCUUUGUAAGGACUAUGA